rnacentral:lncRNA from 1 species
GUGAGAUUAGUUAUUGUAGCGGUGAGAUUGGAUACUGUAACGGUGAGAUUAGAAACAAUUGUGGAGUGUGUGUUUGGAUUCAAACGCAGCUGUAGCGGUGAGGUGAGAAUAAAAAAUGACUAUUAAGGACAUCAUAUUAGAAUUGAUAUAUAAUAGAAGUUUUUUUAAUUAUUUUACUUUUUUAAAAUUAUUAAAAUAUGUGAAUUUAUAAAUUCAUUUAAUAAAAUAUUAA